UUUUACUGUUCCUUCAACGCCAAAGUUGCAUUUUCACAGAGAACGAAGAAGAAGAAGAAGAAAAGAAAAUGGAAAAGAGAUCGCGCCUGAGAGUCCAAAAGAAGAAACCCAUUAAACGCAGAGGAAGGAAAGUGUUUCUUAAAAUGGUUUUGAAUUAUCUUAAGUCUGAUACUUUCAUGUAUGCCCCUCUCCUCUCAUCUCUACCCUGUCAUGCUUUCAACGCCUUCCCUUCUUCCCCUGCUAAAGAGUUGGAAUUUCCAAAAGCUGAAAAAGAGAAGCGGUGUUUUGGGAAACAAGUUGGAGAGUAUCUCAAAUCUGAUGAUUAUAUGUAUGAUCUGCUGCUUCAUCUUCCCCAUUCAUCUAAAGAACCUUUGCAUGAUUCAACUAGAAGGUUGACAACGAAAGUUAAUCAACUAACUGAUCAUAUAAGAAAUGGAAACCAAAGUUCCGAAAGUCCUGUUCCUCAAACAGACAUCUCUGAUCAGCAUAAACACACAGAAACUAUGAAGCAUACUGUGUACCAAUUUUGUCGCUCAACUGCUGCUCCAAAAAUGAGACUCAAUUUACUGCAGGGCAUUAUAGGACUUAUAGUAAAUUUAUUGGCCUUUUGAUGGAGGAUGAGGAAAUUUCCCGUUUUGAUCACCACUAUUGUCCAACUCUCAGGGAUUGUUACCCUCAACUCCCAGCUGAGAGCUCAUAGCUGAUUGGAACUUUGGAUACACCAGUAAACAUAGAUUAUAACAUAUACAGGUUGCUCUUUUAGGUGUACACAUUAUAUGUGUUGUGUAGAAUUUUAUCAGUUAUUAUCGUCUUCGUUUUUCGAUAGAAUAUGCAAAUGGUAGUUUGAACUUCCUUAUCAUAUUGGUGGUGGGUUUGUCCAUCAUCAGCAUUGUCAUUAAGGACUGUAUUUUGUUUAAACUUUUCUUUGGGAAACACGAAAUUUUAAAUGAUCGUUUUACC